CCUCUGAUAGCUCAGUGGCAGAGCGCGGGGAGGAUAUGGGCGGUAGCACUGGAUUUAUCCCCGAGGCCGCUGGUUCGAGUCCAGCUUAGAGGA